CACUAGUGAUUGGUGUUCUUCCCGAUAUCUACACAUUCCACCGUUACACCGGGAAUUCCAGUCUCCCCUACCGCACUCAAGCCCGCCCGUACCCGGCGCGGAUCCACCGUUAAGCGAUGGACUUUCACACCGGACGCGACGAACCGCCUACGAGCCCUUUACGCCCAAUAAUUCCGGAUAACGCUUGCACCCUACGUAUUACCGCGGCUGCUGGCACGUAGUUAGCCGGUGCUUAUUCGAAAGGUACACUCACCCGAAGGCUUGCUCCCGAUCAAAAGCGGUUUACAACCCGAAGGCCGUCAUCCCGCACGCGGCGUCGCUGCAUCAGGCUUGCGCCCAUUGUGCAAUAUUCCCCACUGCUGCCUCCCGUAGGAGUCUGGGCCGUAUCUCAGUCCCAAUGUGGCCGGUCGCCCUCUCAGGCCGGCUACCCGUCGUAGGCUCGGUGGGCCGUUACCCCGCCGACUACCUGAUAGGACGCGACCCCAUCCCAUACCGAUGAAAUCUUUCCCGGAAGGACAUGCAUCCAACCGGAGCAUUCGGCAUUACCACCCGUUUCCAGGAGAAUCGAAUUC
rnacentral:rRNA from 1 species